AAAUAAAGAGUCCCAUAGUUCCCAGUCCUGCUGCAACCUUCUUUAUCGUCAAAACCAUGUGACACUGUGGAGAUGCACAUGCAAGGAGGAAGUGGCUGUUCGCUGAGCUUCACGAUAGGUGCCGUUGAGGAAGUGGACGGGAAUGGAGUGUGGCAGGGAGUGAUGGAACGGGUUGCGCUGCAGUAUGCUCAGCACUUCCAUGCGCGAGGGACGGCACUCCCGGGGGCUGCCGGCUUUCAGGGCACGCUCCAGGGCUCGGCCACAGAAUGAUGCGUACUGGCCCGGCUCACUCCUGCAGGCCGGUGUUUCAAUUACCUGGAGUCAGCGUGCCGCAGGAGGUGCUUCCUCAAAAGCCACCGGGUCCUGUUGCGAGGUGGGAAGAGGGCCACUGCGAGGGACAGCAGCUGCCAUCCCUGCACGAGUACCCAAUCGGCCG
rnacentral:lncRNA from 1 species